rnacentral:rRNA from 1 species
UCAGGCCUAACACAUGCAAGUCGAGCGGUAGCAGGAAGUGCUUGCACUUCGCUGACGAGCGGCGGACGGGUGCGUAACACGUAGGAAUCUGCCUGGUAGUGGGGGAUAGCCCGGAGAAAUCCGGAUUAAUACCGCAUACGCCCUACGGGGGAAAGGAGGGGACUCUUCGGAGCCUUUCGCUAUCAGAUGAGCCUGCGUCGGAUUAGCUUGUUGGUGGGGUAAAGGCCUACCAAGGCGACGAUCCGUAGCUGGUCUGAGAGGAUGAUCAGCCACACUGGGACUGAGACACGGCCCAGACUCCUACGGGAGGCAGCAGUGGGGAAUAUUGCACAAUGGGCGAAAGCCUGAUGCAGCCAUGCCGCGUGUGUGAAGAAGGCCCUAGGGUUGUAAAGCACUUUCAGUGGGGAGGAAAGGUUGGAGGUUAAUACCCUUCAGCUGUGACGUUACCCACAGAAGAAGCACCGGCUAACUCCGUGCCAGCAGCCGCGGUAAUACGGAGGGUGCGAGCGUUAAUCGGAAUUACUGGGCGUAAAGCGUGCGUAGGCGGCCACCUAAGUUGGAUGUGAAAGCCCCGGGCUCAACCUGGGAACUGCAUCCAAAACUGGGUGGCUAGAGUACGGGAGAGGAGUGUGGAAUUUCCUGUGUAGCGGUGAAAUGCGUAGAUAUAGGAAGGAACACCAGUGGCGAAAGGCGACACUCU